rnacentral:rRNA from 1 species
AUUGAACGCUGGCGGCAGGCCUAACACAUGCAAGUCGAACGAGUGGCGGACGGGUUAGUGAUGUCUGGGAAACUGCCCGAUGGAUGGGGAUCACUACUGGAAAUUGUAGCUAAUACCGCAUACCUUGGCUUGUUCCCAGAUGGGCUUAGCUAGUAGGUGGGGUAACGGCUCACCUAGGCGACGUUCCCUAGCUGGUCUGAGAGGAAGAUCAGAAAGACUGGAACGUGGACACGGGCCAGACGCCUACGAGAAGCAGCAGUGGGGAAUAUUGCACAAUGGGCGAAAGCCUGAUGCAGCCAUGCCGCGGGUAUGAAGAAGGCCUUCGGGAUGUAAAGUACUUUCAGCGAGGAGGCGUUACUCGCAGAAGAAGCACCGGAUAACACCGUGCCAGCAGCCGCGGUAAUAC